GACGAACGCUGGCGGCGUGCUUAACACAUGCAAGUCGAACGGAAAGGCCCUGCUUUUGUGGGUUGCUCGAGUGGCGAACGGGUGAGUAACACGUGAGUAACCUGCCCUUGACUUUGGGAUAACUUCAGGAAACUGGGGCUAAUACCGGAUAUGAUCUCCUGCUGCAUGGUGGGGGUUGGAAAGUUUCGGCGGUUGGGGAUGGACUCGCGGCUUAUCAGCUUGUUGGUGGGGUAGUGGCUUACCAAGGCUUUGACGGGUAGCCGGCCUGAGAGGGUGACCGGCCACAUUGGGACUGAGAUACGGCCCAGACUCCUACGGGAGGCAGAAGUGGGGAAUAUUGCACAAUGGGCGGAAGCCUGAUGCAGCAACGCCGCGUGCGGGAUGACGGCCUUCGGGUUGUAAACCGCUUUCGCCUGUGACGAAGCGUGAGUGACGGUAAUGGGUAAAGAAGCACCGGCUAACUACGUG
rnacentral:rRNA from 1 species